rnacentral:misc_RNA from 1 species
AAAGUCGUAACAAGGUUUCCGUAGGUGAACCUGCGGAAGGAUCAUUACCGAGUUCAUGCCCUCACGGGUAGACCUCCCACCCUUUGUAUACCUUACCUUUUGUUGCUUUGGCGGGCCGCCUAGCUACUGGCUUCGGCUGGUAAGUGCCCGCCAGAGGACCCAAACCCAAACCCAUUUAUAGUGUCGUCUGAGAAAAAAGUUUAAUAUUUAAAACUUUCAACAACGGAUCUCUUGGCUCUG